rnacentral:rRNA from 1 species
AUUGAACGCUGGCGGCAGGCCUAACACAUGCAAGUCGAGCGGACGAAGGGAGCUUGCUCCUGGCUUCAGCGGCGGACGGGUGAGUAAUGCCCAGGAAUCUGCCCGGUAGUGGGGGAUAACGUCCGGAAACGGGCGCUAAUACCGCAUCCGUCCUGAGGGAGAAAGUGGGGGAUCUUCGGACCUCACGCUAUCAGAUGAGCCUAGGUCGGAUUAGCUAGUUGGUGGGGUAAAGGCCUACCAAGGCGACGAUCCGUAACUGGUCUGAGAGGAUGAUCAGUCACACUGGAACUGAGACACGGUCCAGACUCCUACGGGAGGCAGCAGUGGGGAAUAUUGGACAAUGGGCGAAAGCCUGACGCAGCCAUGCCGCGUGUGUGAAGAAGGUCUUCGGAUUGUAAAGCACUGUAAGUAGGGAGGAAGGGCAGUGAGUUAAUACCUUGCUGUUUUGACGUUACCAACAGAGAAAGCAACGGCUAACUUCGUG